rnacentral:rRNA from 1 species
GACGAACGCUGGCGGCGUGCUUAACACAUGCAAGUCGAACGGAAAGGCCCUGCUUUUGUGGGGUGCUCGAGUGGCGAACGGGUGAGUAACACGUGAGUAACCUGCCCUUGACUUUGGGAUAACUUCAGGAAACUGGGGCUAAUACCGGAUAGGAGCUCCUGCUGCAUGGUGGGGGUUGGAAAGUUUCGGCGGUUGGGGAUGGACUCGCGGCUUAUCAGCUUGUUGGUGGGGUAGUGGCUUACCAAGGCUUUGACGGGUAGCCGGCCUGGGAGGGUGACCGGCCACAUUGGGACUGAGAUACGGCCCAGACUCCUACGGGAGGCAGCAGUGGGGAAUAUUGCACAAUGGGCGGAAGCCUGAUGCAGCAACGCCGCGUGCGGGAUGACGGCCUUCGGGUUGUAAACCGCUUUCGCCGGUGACGAAGCGUGAGUGACGGUAAUGGGUAAAGAAGCACCGGCUAACUACGUG